AUGAACGCUGGCGGCGUGCCUAAUACAUGCAAGUCGAGCGAACAGAUAAGGAGCUUGCUCCUUUGACGUUAGCGGCGGACGGGUGAGUAACACGUGGGUAACCUACCUAUAAGACUGGGAUAACUUCGGGAAACCGGAGCUAAUACCGGAUAACAUUUGGAACCGCAUGGUUCUAAAGUGAAAGAUGGUUUUGCUAUCACUUAUAGAUGGGCCCGCGCCGUAUUAGCUAGUUGGUAAGGUAACGGCUUACCAAGGCGACGAUACGUAGCCGACCUGAGAGGGUGAUCGGCCACACUGGAACUGAGACACGGUCCAGACUCCUACGGGAGGCAGCAGUAGGGAAUCUUCCGCAAUGGGCGAAAGCCUGACGGAGCAACGCCGCGUGAGUGAUGAAGGGUUUCGGCUCGUAAAACUCUGUUAUUAGGGAAGAACAAAUGUGUAAGUAACUGUGCACGUCUUGACGGUACCUAAUCAGAAAGCCACGGCUAACUACGUG
rnacentral:rRNA from 1 species